rnacentral:rRNA from 1 species
UACGUAGGGGGCUAGCGUUGUCCGGAAUCAUUGGGCGUAAAGAGCGUGUAGGCGGUCCGGUAAGUCCGCUGUGAAAGUCGGGGGCUCAACCCUCGAAUGCCGGUGGAUACUGUCGGGCUAGAGUGCGGAAGAGGCGAGUGGAAUUCCUGGUGUAGCGGUGAAAUGCGUAGAUAUCGGGAGGAACACCAGUGGCGAAGGCGACUACCUGGCCUGUUCUUGACGCUGAGGCGCGAAAGCUAGGGGAGCAAACGGG